rnacentral:rRNA from 1 species
UCGAGAAUAUUCGACAAUGGGCGAAAGCCUGAUCGAGCGACACCGCGUGCAGGAUGAAGGCCUUCGGGUCGUAAACUGCGGUAGUAUGGGAAGAAUGAAAAUGACCGUACCAUACGGAAAGAGGUGGGUAACUACGUGCCAGCACCAGCGGUAAUACGUAGACCUCAAGCGUUAUCCGGAUUUAUUGGGCGUAAAGAGCAUGUAGGUGGUUUUGUGCGUCUUCUGUUAAAGCCCAGCGCCUAACGUUGGAAGUGCAGGAGAUACGACAAGACUAGAAGAGGUUAGAGGUGCAUGGAACUCACGGUGUAGGGGUGAAAUCCGUUGAUAUCGUGGGGAACACCAAAGGCGAAGGCAGUGCACUGGGACCUUCUUGACACUGAGAUGCGAAAGCGUGGGGAGCAAAAAGGAUUAGAUACCCCUGUAGUCC